rnacentral:rRNA from 1 species
UAGUACGGCGAGUGAAGCGGCAACAGCUCAAAUUUGAAAUCUGGCGUCUUUGGCGUCCGAGUUGUAAUUUGCAGAGGGCGCUUUGGCAUUGGCAGCGGUCCAAGUUCCUUGGAACAGGACGUCACAGAGGGUGAGAAUCCCGUACGUGGUCGCUAGCCUUUACCGUGUAAAGCCCCUUCGACGAGUCGAGUUGUUUGGGAAUGCAGCUCUAAAUGGGAGGUAAAUUUCUUCUAAAGCUAAAUACUGGCCAGAGACCGAUAGCGCACAAGUAGAGUGAUCGAAAGAUGAAAAGCACUUUGGAAAGAGAGUUAAAAAGCACGUGAAAUUGUUGAAAGGGAAGCGCUUGCAGCCAGACUUGCCUGUAGUUGCUCAUCCGGGUUUCUACCCGGUGCACUCUUCUACGGGCAGGCCAGCAUCAGUUUGGGCGGUUGGAUAAAGGUCUCUGUCAUGUACCUCCUCUCGGGGAGAUCUUAUAGGGGAGACGACAUGCAACCAGCCUGGACUGAGGUCCGCGCAUCUGCUAGGAUGCUGGCGUAAUGGCUGUAAGCGGCCCGUCUUGCAACACGGACCACGGAGUCUAACAUCUAUGCGAGUGUUAGGACGUCAAGCCCGAGCGCGUUUUGAUCCUGAACUGAGGGCGCGAUACAUUCGCGGCGUAGAAUGGUUCCCAA